CGCGGGUGUUCAUCUAUUAGCUAUUAGCCGACUAGCCUUCAGAUUCCACUGAGGACACAGUGAAGGAACUAGUAUCACAUGCACUGGUGUCCUCAGAAACGUGUCCUUUCAUAGAUGAAUAUGCAGCAUCAUUGGAAAACUGCAGGACUGCCAGAAUACUGACUGUGCAUUUGGAAAUGUGGUUGAUGCCGAGGCCAGAAUCCUAACAUGGCGGACAAAAGGGACUUCGGAAAACAUCAGUUUGGUUACUUCUGUCCCUAUCCAUUACUUUAUUUCCAGGUGGAAAGAAGGCAACAUGUGCACCAUGGGAUGAGGUAGUAGGUUGUAUAGUUUUAGGGUCACACCCACACUGGGAGAUAACUAUACAGCCUACUGUCUUUCUCAAAGUGAAAACGGAGCUACGGAGUAUCAUCCUACGUUUCCUGAUGUUUAAUAUCAAUGAUAGCUUUGUCACGGUAUGUGUUGAAAAUGUUUUUGAUUGUUAAUAGAGGCAGCAAUGCUUGUGCAGUGUGAGGUAGUAGAUUGUAUAGUUGUAGGGUAGUGAUUUUAUCCUGUGUAGCAGAUAACUAUACAAUCUAUUGCCUUCCCUGAGGGGCAGAAAUACACACCAAAUGAGCAUCUAAUUAUUUAAGAAAAUGUGAUGCAUGUGGUUUUUAAAUCAAGAUUGAAUUAUUUUCCUUGUCUAAAGUAUCUUUGUUUUUAACAAAUACAGUAAAUUAUUUCUAAAUUUA
ensembl:lncRNA